UGGGGAAUAUUGCACAAUGGGCGCAAGCCUGAUGCAGCCAUGCCGCGUGUAUGAAGAAGGCCUUCGGGUUGUAAAGUACUUUCAUCGGGGAGGAAGGUGUUGAGGUUAAUAACCUCAGCAAUUGACGUUACCCGCAGAAGAAGCACCGGCUAACUCCGUGCCAGCAGCCGCGGUAAUACGGAGGGUGCAAACGUUAAUCGGAAUUACUGGGCGUAAAGCGCACGCAGGCGGUCUGUCAAGUCGGAUGUGAAAUCCCCGGGCUCAACCUGGGAACUGCAUCCGAAACUGGCAGGCUUGAGUCUUGUAGAGGGGGGUAGAAUUCCAGGUGUAGCGGUGAAAUGCGUAGAGAUCUGGAGGAAUACCGGUGGCGAAGGCGGCCCCCUGGACAAAGACUGACGCUCAGGUGCGAAAGCGUGGGGAGCAAACA
rnacentral:rRNA from 1 species